UACGAAGGGGGGCUAGCGUUGCUCGGAAUCACUGGGCGUAAAGCGCACGUAGGCGGAUUGUUAAGUCAGGGGUGAAAUCCUGGAGCUCAACUCCAGAACUGCCUUUGAUACUGGCGAUCUCGAGUCCGGGAGAGGUGAGUGGAACUCCGAGUGUAGAGGUGAAAUUCGUAGAUAUUCGGAAGAACACCAGUGGCGAAGGCGGCUCACUGGCCCGGUACUGACGCUGAGGUGCGAAAGCGUGGGGAGCAAACAGGG
rnacentral:rRNA from 1 species